AAGAUGUGUUCAAGCUAGGCUUAGUAUGGCCAUCUUCUGCUGCCUGCAGAUCAAGAUCUAGAACUCUCAGCUCCUCCUUCAGCACCAGGUUUUCAGCAGGAAGCAUGGCCCAGAUUAGAGUUUGGUUUGCUCAGCUCAAAUUAUCCGGAUUAAAGGUGCGGCUUUCUGUCUCAAAGAUCCGGAUUAGAGGAGCCCAAGGAACUAGCGGAUACAGCAACGGAUGGGCGUACAAGUCCAAAAAAUAUCCAUCCACUAAAGAGCGCAUCAACAAAACCGUGGCACAUCCGUAUGAGAGAACAGUAGUAUCCAGUCAUAAAAAGGAGUGAGGAACAGCAGGCGCUUGCUGUAAUGUGGACGAGCCUUUGGAGACGUGAAAGGAACCAGACACAGAAGGACAUCUCAUGAUCCGAUUUCUAGAAAUGCCCACAACAGGCAAAUCAGUAAAACGCUUCCC